rnacentral:rRNA from 1 species
UNUGACUUGAGUGCAGAAGGGGAGAGUGGAAUUCCAUGUGUAGCGGUGAAAUGCGUAGAUAUAUGGAGGAGCACCAGUGGCGAAAGCGGCUCUCUGGUCUGUCACUGACGCUGAGGCUCGAAAGCGUGGGUAGCGAACAGGAUUAGAUACCCUGGUAGUCCACGCCGUAAACGAUGAGUGCUAGGUGUUAGGCCCUUUCCGGGGCUUAGUGCCGGAGCUAACGCAAUAAGCACUCCGCCUGGGGAGUACGACCGCAAGGUUGAAACUCAAAGGAAUUGACGGGGGCCCGCACAAGCGGUGGAGCAUGUGGUUUAAUUCGAAGCAACGCGAAGAACCUUACCAGGUCUUGACAUCCCGAUGCUAUUCUUAGAGAUAGGAAGUUACUUCGGUACAUCGGAGACAGGUGGUGCAUGGUUGUCGUCAGCUCGUGUCGUGAGAUGUUGGGUUAAGUCCCGCAACGAGCGCAACCCUUAUUGUUAGUUGCCAUCAUUAAGUUGGGCACUCUAGCGAGACUGCCGGUAAUAAACCGGAGGAAGGUGGGGAUGACGUCAAAUCAUCAUGCCCCUUAUGACCUGGGCUACACACGUGCUACAAUGGUCGGUACAACGAGUUGCGAGCCGGUGACGGCAAGCUAAUCUCUGAAAGCCGAUCUCAGUUCGGAUUGGAGGCUGCAACUCGCCUCCAUGAAGUCGGAAUCGCUAGUAAUCGCGGAUCAGCACGCCGCGGUGAAUACGUUCCCGGGCCUUGUACACACCGCCCGUCACACCACGAGAGUUUGUAACACCCGAAGUCGGUGAGGUANCCUUUUAGGG